GACGGAGGAUGCAAGCGUUAUCCGGAAAUUAUUUGGGCGUAAAGCGUCCGCAGGUGGCUGUUCAAGUCUGCCUGUCAAAGCGCAGAGCUUAACUCUGUACAGGCGGUGGAAACUGAAGAGCUAGAGUAUGGUAGGGGUAGAGGGAAUUCCCGGUGUAGCGGUGAAAUGCGUAGAUAUCGGGAAGAACACCAGUGGCGAAAGC
rnacentral:rRNA from 1 species